AGAGUUUGAUCCUGGCUCAGAACGAACACUGGCGGCGUGGAUUAGGCAUGCAAGUCGAACGGGAAAGUUCCCUUCGGGGGAUGAGUAUAGUGGCGAACGGGUGAGUAACGCGUGGGAAACCUGCCCUUUUGUGGGGGAUAACAGGCCUAACGGCCUGCUAAUACCGCAUACGUCCCCGGGGUCGCAUGGCCCUGGGAAGAAAGGUGGCCUCUCCUUGGAAGCUGCCGCAGAAGGAUGGUCCCGCGUCCCAUUAGCUUGUUGGUGGGGUAAUGGCCUACCAAGGCGACGAUGGGUAGCCGGCCUGAGAGGGUGUCCGGCCACACUGGGACUGAGAUACGGCCCAGACUCCUACGGGAGGCAGCAGUCGAGAAGCUUCGGCAAUGGGCGAAAGCCUGACCGAGCGACGCCGCGUGAGCGAUGAAGGUCCUAUGGAUUGUAAAGCUCUGUCAGAUUGGGAAGAAAACUUCGCGGCGAAUAACCGCGAAGCUUGACGGUACCAUCAGAGGAAGCACCGGCUAACUCCGUGCCAGCAGCCGCGGUAAUACGGAGGGUGCGAGCGUUGUUCGGAUUCACUGGGUAUAAAGGGUGCGCAGGCGGCCUGGUAAGUCAGGGGUGAAAUAUGACGGCUCAACCGUCAAACGGCCUCUGAAACUGCCUGGCUUGAGUCCGGGAGAGGAUGGUGGAAUUCCUGGUGUAGCGGUGAAAUGCGUAAAUAUCAGGAGGAACACCGAUGGCGAAGGCAGCUAUCUGGCCCGGUACUGACGCUCAGGCACGAAAGCUAGGGGAGCGAACAGGAUUAGAUACCCUGGUAGUCCUAGCCGUAAACGAUGGGCACUAGGUGUUGGAGGAGUCUACCCCUUCAGUGCCGCAGCUAAUGCAUUAAGUGCCCCACCUGGGGAGUACGAUCGCAAGGUUGAAACUCAAAGGAAUUGACGGGGGCCCGCACAAGCGGUGGAGCAUGUGGUUUAAUUCGAUGCAACGCGAAGAACCUUACCUGGGCUUGACAUGCAGGGGACAGGUGCAGAAAUGUACCCUCCUUCGGACCCCUGUGCAGGUGCUGCAUGGCUGUCGUCAGCUCGUGUCGUGAAAUGUUGGGUUAAGUCCCGCAGCGAGCGCAACCCCUGUCUUCAGUUGCCAUCAGUUCGGCUGGGGACUCUGGAGAGACUGCCGGUGACAAACCGGGGGAAGGUGGGGACGACGUCGAGUCAUCA
rnacentral:rRNA from 1 species